rnacentral:sRNA from 1 species
UAAAAUUUGUAACAAGGUUUCCGUAGGUGAACUUUCGGAAGGAUCAUUUCCGAGUGCGGGCUGCCUCCGGGCGCCCAACCUCCCACCCGUGACUACCUAACACUGUUGCUUCGGCGGGGAGCCCCCCAGGGGCGAGCCGCCGGGGACCACUGAACUUCAUGCCUGAGAGUGAUGCAGUCUGAGCCUGAAUACAAAUCAGUCAAAACUUUCAACAAUGGAUCUCUUGGUUCCGGCAUCGAUGAAGAACGCAGCGAACUGCGAUAAGUAAUGUGAAUUGCAGAAUUCAGUGAAUCAUCGAGUCUUUGAACGCACAUUGCGCCCCCUGGCAUUCCGGGGGGCAUGCCUGUCCGAGCGUCAUUGCUGCCCUCAAGCCCGGCUUGUGUGUUGGGUCGUCGUCCCCCCCGGGGGACGGGCCCGAAAGGCAGCGGCGGCACCGUGUCCGGUCCUCGAGCGUAUGGGGCUUUGUCACCCGCUCGAUUAGGGCCGGCCGGGCGCCAGCCGGCGUUUCCAACCUUAUUUUUAUCAGGUUGACCUCGGAUCAGGAAAGGGAUACCCGCUGAACUUAAGCAUAUCAAUAAGCGGAGGAA